rnacentral:rRNA from 1 species
GUGGGGAAUCUUCCGCAAUGGACGAAAGUCUGACGGAGCGACGCCUCGUGAGUGAAGAAGGCCUUCGGGUCGUAAAGCUCUGUCAUCAGGGACGAACGGCCGGUGGAGUGGAAAGCCACCGGAUUGACGGUACCUGAGAAGGAAGCCACGGCUAACUACGUGCCAGCAGCCGCGGUAAUACGUAGGUGGCAAGCGUUGUCCGGAAUUAUUGGGCGUAAAGCGCGCGCAGGUGGGAUCUUAAGUCCAUUUUUAAAGUUCGGAGCUCAACUCCGUGAUGGGAUGGAAACUGGGAUUCUUGAGUACCGGAGAGGAAAGCGGAAUUCCCCGUGUAGCGGUGUAAUGCGUAGAUAUGGGGAGGAACACCAGUGGCGAAGGCGGCUUUCUGGACGGUGUCUGACACUGAGGCACGAAAGCGUGGGGAGCAAACAGGAUUAGAAACCCUGGUAGUCC